rnacentral:lncRNA from 1 species
GAAAGCGGGGCUGGAGAACACGGUGGCAGAGACGGAGUGCCGCUAUGCCCUGCAGCUGCAGCAGAUCCAGGGACUCAUCAGCAGCAUCGAGGCCCAGCUGAGCGAGCUCCGCAGUGAGAUGGAGUGCCAGAACCAAGAGUACAAGAUGCUGCUGGACAUCAAGACACGUCUGGAGCAGGAGAUCGCCACCUACCGCAGCCUGCUCGAGGGCCAGGACGCCAAGAUGAUUGGUUUCCCUUCCUCAGCAGGAAGCGUCAGCCCCCGUAGCACCUCUGUUACCACGACUUCUAGUGCCUCUGUUACCACCACCUCUAAUGCCUCUGGUCGCCGCACUUCUGAUGUCCGUAGGCCUUAAAUCUGCCUGGCGUCCCCUCCCUCUGUCUUCAGCACCCAGAGGAGGAGAGAGCCGGCAGUUCCCUGCAGGAGAGAGGAGGGGCUGCUGGACCCAAGGCUCAGUCCCUCUGCUCUCAGGACCCCCUGUCCUGACUCUCUCCUGAUGGUGGGCCCUCUGUGCUCUUCUCUUCCGGUCGGAUCUCUCUCCUCUCUGACCUGGAUACGCUUUGGUUUCUCAACUUCUCUACCCCAAAGAAAAGAUUAUUCAAUAAAGUUUCCUGCCUUUCUGC